rnacentral:lncRNA from 1 species
UGAACUCAGGACCUCUGGAAGAGCACUCAGUGCUCUUAACUGCUGAGUUAAGCAACCCUGGUAUUAUUAUUAUUAUUAUUAUUAUUAUUAUUAUUGUUAUUUAAAAGUAGUUGAGUAUGGGUAGUUCACACUUGUGAUAAUCCAAAAGUAAACGACAAAAGGUUGUAGUUAUCCCCAGGAGUGAAACAGGAGGAAUUUGAAUGAAGUAAAUUUAUGAAAAUUUCUACCAUUUAAAUGAAUUGAUUUUUGUAGGUAAACUGCUUUUUACUUGUGAGCUAUUGAGUGAAUGGCUGAAAUGUAGAGCUGACUUGGAGUGAAAUAAAAGCCACUGGUAAGUACAAGCAGCAGCUGAUAUGCUACAGUCUACUGUUUGCCCUGCAAAUAGGUCUGCACUUGGGUCAGGAGCUUGGUCUUGGCAGCUCACAUAUAACCAUGAGUUAUAUAUAUAGUAACGUUAUGUAUGGAAACUUUGCUGUGUGCCAGAUACUGUGCUAAGCAUCUUUUUAUGUUCUGUCAAACAUUUGAGAGGGCAUGCAAGGAUUACUGCUAUGCCUAUUUGAAAUGUGCAAACUGGAGUGACUCUCAUUUGAAAAGCCCUAGCAGGUAGAUGUGUGCCUGUAGUUUCACAGUCAGUGGGUGGAGAGCUGGGAUUCCUGUCCCAGGUCCCCCCUCUGACUGUAUUUUCAAUCAUUCACUAAACAGACAUAAAUUUCAUUUUUAUUUCAUGUUUCUAUAGAAAGUCAAACUUCCAUAUUUUUUAUUGUAUUUUAAAUCUCUCUUUGUCUCUCUGUGCACACGUGCGUGUGAUAUGUAUAUGUGGGUGCAAAUGCUGACGCUCAUAUGUGAGGGUUAGAGAUCAGCUUUGGAGUGGCUUCUCUCCUUUCACCUUGUGUUUUGGUGAUCAACUAAUUUUUUUUUAAAAGAAUUAUUUAUUAUAUGUAAGUAUACUGUAGCUGUCUUCAGACACUCCAGAAGAGGGCGCCAGAUCUCGUUACGGAUGGUUGUGAGCCACCAUGUAGUUGCUGGAAUUUGAACUCAGGACCUUCAGAGGAGUAGUUGGUGCUCUUAACCACUGAGCCAUCUCACCAGCCCCCCCCCCCCUCAACUAAUUUUUAUCCUCUGAACCAUUUUGGCUGUUAUUGAACCUGUUAUUGUUUUGAGACAGGGUCUUAUUCUGUGGGCCAGCUUAGCCUGAAACUGUAAUCCAUGCCUUAAGCUUGAGGUGACGUUUCUACAUCUGCCUUCUGAGUUCUAUGGCCAGGUUAGUGUACCUCCACAGUUGACCCUUGGUCAUCCAUGCUUUCUGGUUGGCUUUUGUUUCUUUGUUUUAAAGAAGUUUGUUUUAUUUUCUUAGGGCUGUGUGUGUGUGUGUGUGUGUUAGUCCAUCUGUACACACACACACACACACACACACACACACACACACACGCCAGCAGUGAAGUUACAGGUGAUUGUGAUCCAUCCAGUCUAAGUUCUGCUAUCUACAUUUACUUCCUCAGAAAGCAGCAAGUGCCCCUAACAGCUGAGCCGCCUCUCCAGGUUCGUUGGUUUGUGUGCUGAGACAGGGUUUUAUGCAGCUCAGGCUGACGUCAGUACACAGCUAAGGAUGACCCUGAUUUCACAGGGUUACAAGCGUACACCACACCCUCAGCCUGCAAACAUCCAUGUCAUUUUGUGUACAGGGAUUCCCUUCAGACUAGAAUUGUCUAAGGUCUUCGGGCACAUAGCUCAUUGGCAUGAAUAGAGGCACACACAUUAGUCUUCUUGGUGUCUGGUCACUUUCCCACCCUCUUCCUGAAGACUUUUCUCCCUCUCAGUAUUUUCUCCUUUCUAGGCAACUGCUGUAUGGUACCUGUUCCUCCAGGUCAUGCUGUGGCUGGUGCAAUCCCAUCAUUCAGUGUAGGCCAGUGCUCACAGGUAACCUUUCAGAAGAUGGAGAAAGGAGGAAGAGCCAGGUUUGCUAGGAAGGAGUUUGGGGACUAUUUGCAUUAGCAGACAACAAACAUAUUUCAGUUGACAAGAGUAUUGUCUUUUUUUUUUUUUUUUUUUUUUUUUUUUUUUUUUUGAGACAGAGUCUCUUGGAUCCCAGGCUGGCCUAGAACUCACCAUAUGGUGCAAGCUGCCCUUGAAAUUCCCAUUCCCUACUGCAGUCUGCUGAGUACAAGGGUUACAGACUUGCAUCACAAGGCCCAGCAUCCUUUUUUAUUGUUGGCUUGCUUUAUUCCACGUGUCCCUUUGACUAAGUGGCAUGUCCCUGGUGACCAGUCUAGCAGCAGCUGUGCCUGUAUUUCUUUGGUCUGUCAUGCUCAUACAAGGCUCCACCACAGAUGGAGUGAAAGAGGUAGUCAGCCCGUCAUGGUGGUUACAUGUUUGCAGGGUGUUCAUUACCCAUAGCUGUGAUAAAAUUCCUCCACAAGAGCAGUUUAGAGGAGAAAGAACUUACCUUGGCUCACAAUUCCAGGUCCAUCAUUGCAGAGAAGUCAAGGCAAGAAGAGCUUGAACAUCUUCACAUCCCCCAUCCAGAGCACAUGCUCACUCAUGCUCUCUCCUCCCCCUCCCCCUCCCCCUCCUCCUCUUCCUCUUCCUCCUCCCCCUUCCCCUCCUCCCCCUCCUCCCCCUCCCCUCCUCCUCCUCUUUUCCCUCUUCCUCCUCCUCCUCCUCCUUCUCCUUCUCCUCCUCCUCCUCCUCCUCUUCUUCUUCUUCUUCUUCUUCUUCUUCUUCUUCUUCUUCUUCUUCUUCUUCUUCUUCUUCUUCUUCUUCUUCUUCUUCUUCUUCUUCUUCUCUCUCUCUCUCUCUCUCUCUCUCUCUCUCUCUCUCUCUCUCUCAAUAUAGUACAGAAUCUUCUGCCUGGGGAAUGGGUCUUCUCACUUCAAAUAGUAGAAUUAAGACAAUCUCCCACAGAUGUGUCCACAGGACAACCUGAUCUAGACAGUCCCUCACUGAGACUCUCUCCAGGUGAUUUAAGAUGGUGUCAAGUUGAUAAUUACAAGUAACCAUCACUGUCCGUACCUUAAUACAGAACCGACUUCAACUGACUUUUUCUUGUCCCUGAAGUCUCAUGUUUAUUGUAUAAUACAGUCCAACUUUAAAAGUUGCAAUAGUCUUUAAACAUUGUAAUACAUUAAAAUUAAACUCCCAGGGCCUGGAGGGAUGGCUCAGUGGUUAAGAGGACCAGCGUUUGGUUCUCACCUCCCACACUGGCUGGUUCAUAACCACGCGUAACUGCAGCUCCAGGGAAGGGGAAGGGGAUGAGAGGUGGGGGUUGACUCCCUCUUCUGGCCUCUGAGGGAAUCUGAGGAGAUUCAGAUACACAUACACAUGCCCAGAAAUAAAAAGAUUGUUUUCAUUUUUAAAGUUCAAAUCCCUUAACCACAAGAACCUAUAAAAUAAAAACUAAGUGACAUCAUUUCAACAUAUAAGGUCACAGAGAAAACUUCCUUGUUCCAAAAGGAAAGAACUUGGCAUAAAACAAUCACAUCAGAGUUAAAACAAAGCAGGGUAAAUACACAUUCCAGAAUACCAUGUCCAGCAUCUGGGGCACAGGAUAUAGUUAGCUGAGUUCCAAAAGGCUUGGACAAAAGGCAGUUCCAACUCUAUCUCUGCUAGCUAAAGUACACACAAUUUCUCUCUUAGGCCUAAGCCAACUCCACUCCAAAUUGCUGCUUUCCUUGUACGAUGUCUGAGUCCUAAGAUCUCCAAUAUUCUUCUUUCUCCGACUGUAGGCCUCUCCAUAGGAGUUUGAGCCAAGCCACAUAAUGUCUGUCCUUAACUGUACUCUUUCUUGCAUCUUUCAUGCCUUCAAAAUCACAUGGACAAUAUUUAUGGCAUCACCCGGUUCUGUCGUCAGAUGAAGAUGUAGCCUGGACCACAAAGGCUAGUGUGGCAUCAACUUCUGCUACUGACCCCAAGAAAACACUUUUCUAGGCAGUAGAUUUUGAGGACCAGGGAACUCCUUUAGCCUAGGCAUUCUGACAUCUUUCUUUCUUUCUUUCUUUCCUUCUUUCUUUCUUUCUUUCUUUCUUUCUUUCUUUCUUUCUUUCUUUCUUUCUCCCCUUUUGUAAAGAUUUAUUUAUUUAUUUAUUUAUUUAUUUAUUGUAAGUACACUGUAGCUGUCUUCAGACACUCCAGAAGAGGGCAUCAGAUUUCAGUACAGAUGGUUGUGAGCCACCAUGUGGAUGCUGGGAUUUGACCAAGACCUCUGGAAAAGCAGUCACUGCUCUUAACCACUGAGCCAUCUCUCCAGCUCGAGGCUACACUUCUGAAGAAGAAUUUUCUCUUUUCCCCAGGAACUAGUAACUUCAUAAGAUCCUGGACUGGGGCAUGAACCCCUUGCCCCUCCAUGGCAGGGUGUCUAUAGACCCAGUCUUCUGCUAACCAUAGCUUCUGAUAACCAUAGCUGUUAGAAGCCAAGAGUGCUAUGGCCAUGUCAUUCCUGGAAGAGUUUUCCACAACACUCCACCCUAUCCUCGUGCAGACUUUCCCCACCCCUUUCUGCCAUGUUCCCCAAGUUUUAGAAGAGGUGAUACACGUCCCAUUAUUAUAGACGAGCACUCAGUAGUCACUUAUCCUCAACACCUUGGCAAGUUAUGAGUCUCUGCAGUUACUGCAACUGCCAGCCUUGUGAAAAGAAGCAACACUAGUGACUCUGACCAGAGUCAACAGCACUACUAAUCUUUGGGGCUAAAAACAAUUAUUUAGAAGGAGUUUUGACAGGUACAUUGUAUCUGGUUAGCAAACAACAGCAGUAGCUUCCUCUCUGGAUAUAUGCUCUCUCGGCCAUAGGCUUUUGACCAAGUUUACAAUACGAAUAGUUGGCACUUUGGACAGGGUUUUACUGUAUACGCCAGGAUAGCCUUGAACUCAGGGUAGGGUAGACCUGGUUGGCCUAAAACUCAAAAGAGAUCCACUCUGUCCCCAGAAUGCUGGAAUUAAAGGAGUGUGUUACUACCCAGGGCUAGCAUUUUUUAUUAGUGGCUAAUAAAUGGCUUAUUAGCCUUCUGAAACUCUGACAAGGAAAUAUACAGAGAAGCAAUGGGGAUGGGGGCAGCAACUACCAAGCCUGAUCAAGCUACAUUGCACCGCUUCAUGACUGAUAUCAGUGCUCAGUGCUGACACUCAGGUAUCCUGAUUCUUGGGCCAGAAUACAGAGAGUUACCUGACCCCAGAUCAGUUAGUUGUUGGGUCUAACACAAACAACAACAAUAGGAAAAGCUAAUUACUAUCUGAUAUUUCUCAGAUCUAAGCACUGACUUACGGUGGGUGCUAUCCCAGAACCCCAUGGGUUUUGUUUUCUGUUUUUGUUUGUCGUAUUUUAUUUUCAAGGCAGGCUUUCUCUUUGUAGCCCUGGCUGUCCUGGAACGCACUCAGUCCACCAGACUGGCCUCCACUGCAAGGUGAUCCUUGGAAGCCCCUGCUUCCCAAAUGGUGGGAUUGCAGGUGUGCACCGCCAUCACAGGCUAUCCCAGAUCCCCAAGGUAAGAUGAAAACGCCUCAGCCAAAGUCACAUUCAUGUAUGUGAGCUACUGAUCACCAGAACUCUUCUGGCUAUCAUUUAUGUGGCUGUGAUAAAAGGUCCACUACCGAGGCACUUUGUAAAGAAAGACUUGAUUUAUUCGGGAUUAUGGUUCCAGAGGAAAAGCGUGCCAAAACAGAGACAGAAGUUGAAGUUUCUGGAGGCUUUGAACUCCCAAGGACCACCUCCAUGAUGUACAUCCUUCAGCAAGACUACACCUCCUAAACCUCCCCAAACAAUGUCACCAAGUGGAGACCAAGGGUUGAAAGCUCAUGAGACAUUCCUCAUUCAGAAAUCACAGUAGCUAAGCCUGGCCCUCCUUUAAUUUACACUCAUCCGCGGUGGAACAAGAUAAUCCAAAACAAAGCCUAUUUUAUAAUAAACUUAAAAAGAAAGGAUUUAUUUAUUUGUUUUAUUUAUGUGAGUACACUGUUGCUGUCUUCAGACACACCAGAAGAGGGCACCAUAUCUCAUUACAGAUGGCUGUGAGCCAGCAUGUGGUUGUUGGGAAUUGAACUCGUGUCCUCUGGAAGAGCAGUCAGUGCUCUUAACCCCUGAGCCAUCUCUCCAGCCCUAUAAUAAAUUUUUAUUUCUGAUGCAAUUUCAAUUAGUAAGUGAAAGACAGCCCAUCUGUGAGCAGGACUGUGUACCCCUGUCAUUGAGAAACCUCAAGUGACCCAUGGUGAGUGGCUGUCCUAAAAUUUCUUGCCAAUGUGUAAAAACAUUUAAAACAUAAUGUCAAGCAUGUGCUUUUACACAUUGGGUUUCUCUCAUUUCUUAGUGCUCAUAAGAUGGCCACUUUAUUUCAUGACUCUGGCACGGGCUUGUGUUUUAAUAUUUUGAAAUUAUUAUUGGGAGUAGGGGUGGCUUUUCUCUGUUGUUGGUCUUGGACAUUCAUUUCAUGUAACCCACGUGGCCUCUACCUUCCAAGUGCUAGGAUUACAGGGAGGCACGGUACAACACGCGACAUUGAUAUAUUACUGAAGAUUGAUGCAUGUUAGAUAAGCAGUCUACCAACUUAACAACACCCAGCUGUAAUGUGUAGCUUUUGCAACCCCGCUUUAAGUUUUGGGAAUGGGCCAUGCUACCAGCCCUCACUCAGAUUCCCUGGAUCCAUGGAUGAAAAACACAGACAGACAGACAGACAGACAGAUACACACACACACACACACACACACACACACACACACACACACACACACACGUUGCUCAAUUUCAACCUGCCUUAUUGGCUCAAUUGCUGGGCACUACUAAUCUCCCUCGGCUAGUGUACCCUUCCCAGUACUCUUAGUUAACACCUCUCAACCUGCCCUAGCUUCAGUUCCUCAGUUACCUUUAGUCCCAGCUCUACACUAACCUCCCACCUUGAGAAGUGGCCUGUGGCUGCUCUACCUGAGAUCUCACAUGACUGGUUGGCUUUUCUUCCUCUGAAGCAUGGCAAAAGCUCCUUUCCUCUCUCCUGCAUCUGCUAGCUUGCAUGCUGGGACCCAGAGGUCCUGCCUAUUCUGUCCAGCUCAUUGGUCACUAGCAUCUUUAUUGGUGGAUCAAGAACCAAUUGGGGAACAGGACCUUAGCAUGAGAAACUCCCCUAUACCAGCCCCAGAUUCCUAAUUUCUGCACAUGUUCUAAGUCUUUUCAAAAAUCCAUAAUGAAGGUUCUUUUAUUUUCCUUUUUGAGUGGUGCCUGAGCAAGACAGCCCCCUCUUCUGCCCACUCCACUACCUCGAACUCACUGUUGAGGCUUUCCCCCUCUGUGUUGUUCUCUGAUACACCAGAGGACUCCCUCAGCCUCUCUCCCACAUGCUCUGAAUCUUGCCUAUGCUACUCUUUCAGGUGAGAAAACUUCACGAAGACUUCCUAAAAUUCCUUCCCUGAAGGCUUCCUUUCUUAGCACAUUUACCACUUUACAGUGUAUUUUACUGCUAUUUUUUACAUUUGUUCUUUUUUCUUUACCACUUUGUAUUUUAUUUAUGAGUACUCUGUUGCUCUCUUCAGACACACCAGAAGAGGGCAUCGGACCCAUUACAGCUGGUUGUGAGCCAUCAUGUGGUUGCUGGGAAUUGAACACAGGACCUCUGAAAGUCAGUGCUCUUAACCACUGAGCCAUCUCUCCAGUCCACCACUUUGUAUUUUAAUUGAUACUCUGCCUUUCCAAAAAUGAAGUUCUAUAAAGCCAAAAUUCAUGUCUGUAUAAGUGACUUUUCUCAUUAAUGUGACCCAAAUAUCUGCCGUUAAACACCACCACCACCUAAGGCAGGAAAGACUUAUUUGGCUCAGAAUGUCAGGGGCAUUGCUGCCCAGCGUGACAGGGAAGGCGCGGUGGAGACAGCGCUCCAUCCAGAGUAGAGGAAACUUGAGGUGGCAGCUUGUUUACAUGACCUGACAUGGCCAGGAAGUGGAGCAUUCAGGCCAGAACCAACACAGGUAGAACCCUUAAAGACUCAGCUCUCCUCACUAGCUUAGGGCAGAUGGCCCCACUUCUAAAGUCUCCACGACUACUCAAAACAGUAACACCUGCUGGAAGCAAGCAUUCACACACAUGUGCCCAUGGGGACCUUUCCUAUACCAGUUAGAGCCCAUUUGCCCCCUGUGCAUGUCUCUGGUGCUUGGCACAGUCUCACACAGUAGGAUGCUGGGAAUGGAUCCUUGAGAGAGUGGAAAUUUCAGGUUUGUUUCUUCAGACAAUUCUUUCUCAGGACCCCCUUCUAGCUUUGCCGAAUUUAGUCGAUCUAAAAUUGAAGUAUCCUUUAUUCCAAACUUCUUCAUGUUUAAAUAGAUCAGAUCAAAUUCUUUAAUUGAUAUUUACAUGUAAGCAUGCUUUUACUGCACACUACACAGCAGAUAUGCUCCUGGAAGUUCAGUGGAUUAAUAUUAUUGGAUUAAUAUUUAAUUAUUUAAAUACAGACUAAGCAUGUGAUGCAAUUCCAUCUCUUUGUUAGUUACAAGGCUUCUCUUUUCCCUUUGUAUGGCAAAUGGUCAUUCUUUAAGUUAUUUAUCUUAGAAAUAUCACUUGCUGCUGGAGAGAUGGCUCAGUGGUUAAGAGCUCUGGCUGCUUUUCCAGGGGAUCUGGGUUCAAUUCCCAGCACCCACAUGGUAGAUCGCAGCUGUCUGUAAUUCCAGUUCCAGGAUGCCCUCACACAGACAGACAUGCAGGCAAAACACCAAUGCAUAUAAAGCAAACAAGCAAAAGAACAAAUAAAGAAAUAGAAUAUUGCUUUCAAGCAAGAAAGGUUUAAAAUGAUCACUUCUCCCUAUAUAAAAUUUAACUUUAAAAUUCCCACAUUGCCCUCUACCCCAUUAAAAGAUUCACUGAAAUACAUCCUCGUCCUUGUCCUCGUCGUCCUCCUCCUCCCUCCCCCCCCCAUGUGAUCCCACCAUCUGUGUUUUGGAUGUGUGUUAGGUGAGAACUGACUUCUCCCAGCCCCUACUCGUGCUUCCCUCGCUCCAACCACAUUUUCUGUAUUUGGCUUUCCACACUUGCAAGGGCCUCUUUCCUUUCCACGUUCAACAUAUUUGACAGAAGUGUUGUACCUUCCAAAGAAUGUACCAAAGCCAGUACCAAGAAAAAAGUGUCAUGCAGCACAUUGCUCUGUCUGGGUUUACAGGGGCAGCGUGGCUUCGGUUUUGUUAAAAUCACACACACACACACAUAUCUAUAUAUAAAUAUAUAUAUAUAAAUAUAUACAAUACAUAUAUAUACAUAUGUAUUUUCCAAUCAUCACAUCAUGUGGUAUAAAUAUAUAUAAAUAUAUAAAAUAUAUAUAAUACAUAUAUAUAUAUAUAAAUGUAUAUGUGUGUGUGUGUGUGUAUUUUCCAAUCAUCACAUCAUGUGGGAUAAAUGAAAAUAUUUUCUUCACAGUAACACAACCAAAGAGAUGUGCUCAAUGACUGGGGCAGCAGCAGAGGAGGCCUGUUCUUGGACACCUGCUGUCAUGGGCCAUCUUAGGGAUCCUCUUGAAGACGCUCUCAGAUGGGAAGUACAUUGGGGGAUUACACAUGCCCUGGCUCUUAGAGGAACAAGAGUCUGUGUGUGAUGUAUUGUAAAACUGUUCCGAAUUCGAUGGAAUCCAUUUCUCUUAUGGUUAGGCAUUAACAUAAAAAGCAGCAUUCAAUUAUGUUUUAUCUUACUCACUGUACUGGCUAGUUUUGUGUCACCCUGAC